GCCCGGCCGCCCCCCUCCCUCCCUCCCGGCGCUCACACCCUGCGGGGGGGGCGCCCCUGGGCCGGAUCUCCGGGCCCGCCCUCCCUCCCCGGCUCCCUGCAGGCGGCGUACGGGGCUGGCCGGCUGCGGCUCUGCUCCCGCCGCUACCCCGACAGGGCGGGCAGGUCCCUGGGCUUCCCCCCGCCCUAGCUCCGCGGCCGCCGGCGAGGCAAACCACUUUGAGCCCCCGCCCCUGACCGCACAGUGGAUUUUGCGCAUGCGCGAGGCCCUGCCCUAAUAAGGCGCGGCUGGCGGCGCUGUGAGGGGUUCGCAUUCUCCCGCCUUCCCCUCCGGGCCGCUCCUAUUGGUUCGGGGACUGGACGUGAGUGGGGAGGCGCGGCUCCCUUAAAGGGAAAGUAACACCCCUUCCAGCCCCUUCCUCCUUAGAACUGCGUUCUCUCGCCCGCUCUCGGCGGGGCUCUGGCCCACGGUGUGGCUGGCGGACAGGGGGCGCGCCCAGCGCGUGGGCGCUGGGACCCUGUGUCACAGCGUCACCCGUCCCAUGUAGGCUGCGGCUUGCCCCGUACUGGGACAGUGCCAGGCUGCAGGGAGCUGGGGGGAAGAAGGAGGCGUGUCCCACUUUUUAAAUGUAAGUGGGGUUACACCACUGCCCUUCUCUAGAGGAGGUGCACAGGUGUAAAUCAGUACAGAUUUUGUCUCAAAGCAGGGGAAUGCCGUGGCUGCGCCUGGUGAUGAUGAGGUGCUGUUAUAAGAUAUAUUUUGGAAACUGAUGCUUCUUCCACUGCACUUUCCUUUCUCCAUUUUCAUAUGAACUCUGCUACAUUAUCAAUAUUUGCCAUCACAACAUGGCCAACUGACAACUCUCCAACUCCACCUACUGUGAAGAACUCAGGGAAGACUCAACUGCACAGUUUACCCAGGAAUUUAAGGAUUUCAUCAACUCCUGCCUGAAACAAUUCCAAGAGAAACUCUACAACCUCAUCUCCCACAAUUCCACCAGGGACCUUCUACAUGCUUCCCACGACAUACAGACAAGGGAACCCAGGCAGCUCCAUCAUACGUGGCUGCGGCACUCUUACUGAAGGAAUAUCAGGACUCAUAGAAACAACUCAAACCACUCACCACACAAAGGGCCAACUUCCUCUAAGACACAACCAACUUUCACCAGAAACUCCACAACAUUAACAACCUCCCUCAGAACACCAUCCAAGCCACCACGGAUUUUUUUCACAAAUCAGUUUAGAAAGUGAAAUAAACUAGCCAGUUUCAUUUUAAUUUGUGGUAAGUUGUUAAACAGUUUCAUUUUAUGGCACUGAUCAUCACUCUAUGGAUGAUUCAGUCCACAUUGUCAAUGCAAUAUCUACUGGUGUUAUAAAUAACAUUUAUAGUGUAAAUUGAGGACUUUAUGUACUUUUCUUCCAAUGCAAAAUUACUAGAUUUAUUGAACUAGUACAAAAACGCUUUAAAAAAAUUGUAUAUUUUGAGCUGUUGUAGUUACACUUGUAAUGAGUAUGGACAUCUGUAUCAUUCUGCAAUCUUAUAACAGAAUGCAACUGAAAAAUACAAGUUUCCAUUGAAGACCCAUGAAUAAAGCCAUAAUCGUAAUUUUCUCUUAUGUCGAUGACAGCAUGUUUAAACUGCUAAAUACCAAUCUAUUUUUAUGAUCUAGGAUUAUACAUGCACCAUUGGUAGAGUAAUAUUCAAUAAAAUUAGUUUUGAAUAAUUCAGAGAGGGCAUGAAAAUUGUUUUAUAGAUGGCUAUCUUCUGUGUAAUCUUACUAAUACUGCUAAAAGUUUGCAAAUUGUGUGACACUGCAGAGUUUCAGUAGUAACCUUACCAGUGCCAUGUAAAAAGAUAUGACACCUUCCUAUUCUGCUCAGUGUUUCCCUGUUUACAUAUCUAAGGAUUGACUAGAGCAUUGCACAGUUCAUUUGUUUUUCCAUCAGGACCCCUAUAUACUUUUCAGUCACUGCUUUUCAGUAUUCAGUCCCCCAUUCUGUAGGCUUGGCCUACAUUUUUUGUUACUAGAUAUAUUACUUUGUCUUUGGCUAUAUUAAAAUGCAAGUUUGUGCCCAGUUUGCCAAGUGAUACCAAUUGCACUGCAUAAUUGACCCGUCCUCAGGAUUAUAUUUUCUACAUCACUAAUCGUUGUGUCAUCCGUAAAUUUUUAUAAGCAAUGAUUUUAUAUUUUUUCAAGAUCAUUGAUAAAAAUAUUAAAUAU